UACGUAGGGUGCUAGCGUUGUCCGGAUUUAUUGGGCGUAAAGAGCUCGUAGGCGGUUCGGCAAGUCAGCUGUGAAAUCUCCACGCUCAACGUGGAGGGGUCAGCUGAUACUGCUGUGACUCGAGUCCGGUAGGGGAGUGUGGAAUUCCCGGUGUAGCGGUGAAAUGCGCAGAUAUCGGGAGGAACACCAGUAGCGAAGGCGGCACUCUGGGCCGGUACUGACGCUGAGGAGCGAAAGCGUGGGGAGCAAACAGG
rnacentral:rRNA from 1 species